UACGAAGGGGGCUAGCGUUGUUCGGAAUUACUGGGCGUAAGGGCGCGUAGGCGGCCUCGUCCGUCCGGCGUGAAAUGCCUGGGCUCAACCUAGGAAUUGCGCUCGAUACAGCGAGGCUAGAGUGUGGGAGAGGUUGGUGGAAUUCCCAGUGUAGAGGUGAAAUUCGUAGAUAUUGGGAAGAACACCGGUGGCGAAGGCGGCCAACUGGACCACAACUGACGCUGAGGCGCGAAAGCGUGGGGAGCAAACAGG
rnacentral:rRNA from 1 species